AAUACUCCAGCGUAAAGAGAUAUAAAGAACGCACAUUCAGUGGAAACUGUAAUCCACAAUUAAACAAGACAGAUAUAAAGAAUGGAGGCAU
rnacentral:ncRNA from 1 species